CAGCUGUAAACGAUGCAGACUAGGUGUUUGGACGGCCACGUGCCGCUCUAGUGCCGCAGGGAAGCUGUUAAGUCUGCCGCCUGGGGAGUACGAUCGCAAGAUUGAAACUUAAAGGAAUUGGCGGGGGAGCACCACAAGGGGUGAAGCUUGCGGUUUAAUUGGAGUCAACGCCGGAAAUCUCACCGGGAGCGACAGCAGUGUGAUAGCCAGAUUAAAGGUCUUGCUAGACGAGCUGAGAGGAGGUGCAUGGCGUAGUCGUGU
rnacentral:rRNA from 1 species